rnacentral:rRNA from 1 species
CCUACGGGGGGCUGCAGUGGGGAAUAUUGCUCAAUGGGGGAAACCCUGAAGCAGCGACGCCGCGUGAGGGAUGAAGGUUUUCGGAAUGUAAAGUCCUUUUGUCAGAGAAGAAAAUGACGGUAUCUGAGUAAUAAGCACCGGCUAACUACGUGCCAGCAGCCGCGGUAAUACGUAGGGGGCAAGCGUUACCCGGAUUCACUGGGCGUAAAGGGCGCGUAGGCGGGAUAGCAAGUCAGAUGUGAAAGGCGGGGGCUUAACCAUCGAACUGCAGUUGAAACUGUACGGCUGGAGUGUAGGAGAGGUAAGUGGAAUUCUUGGUGUAGCGGUAAAAUGCGUAGAGAUUAAGAGGAACACCAAUGGCGAAGGCGACUUACUGGAAUAUAACUGACGUUGAGGCUCGAAAGCGUGGGGAGCAAACAGGAUUAGAUACCCCAGUAGUC